GCCACAAUGAAGACUGUUGUAUCUCAGGA
rnacentral:piRNA from 1 species